UCUAUCUUUUCUAUGGAUUGAAUAUCUAAGUACUCCUCUUGGUGAGGAUAUCAAAUUAUGUUGAUGCAAACUAUUCCAACAAGGGAAUUUCAUGCCGUAUUACUUUGCGAACCAGAAAACAAAAGCACCGAAGUCAAAAACGUUAACUUUCAAAUCACUUAUAUGGAAAAAGAUUUCCCCAGAAGUCGCUUCAUUUUCGGAACCAAAUUCGACCUGGAAAAUAUAGAAACCGACGGCAAUUGAAAAUCCUCAAAGAAAGAAAAACCUCGAGAAAAAACAAGACAAUUGAAAGUUGUCCUGCAUUAAUAAUUUCCUUUGGCUGCUGAGCACUGAUAUACAGGAAGAAAGGUCCUUACAACAAUAACAAAUAAAACGACGAAUGCUGUAAUAUUGGAGGUUUUUGGAAGCUGCAAACCAUUUUCUCUUCCUUACUUGGACUUUUAAGGGUCAUUGAUAACGUCCUGAUUGUACCUCUCCACAAAGCUAAAUGGACACGAGGCAGGAUUUCGGGAGGAUUGUUUUUGCAAUUUUCGAUGUUUCGUUGAAUAUUUAAUGGGGUUCGGACUCCGGAAUAUUUUUUUGUGGAAUGAUAGUGUAUUCAGUUUUUAUAA